UACGUAGGGUGCAAGCGUUAUCCGGAAUCAUUGGGCGUAAAGAGCUCGUAGGCGGUUUGUUGCGUCUGCUGUGAAAACUGGAGGCUCAACCUCCAGCCUGCAGUGGGUACGGGCAGACUAGAGUGCGGUAGGGGAGAUUGGAAUUCCUGGUGUAGCGGUGGAAUGCGCAGAUAUCAGGAGGAACACCAAUGGCGAAGGCAGAUCUCUGGGCCGUAACUGACGCUGAGGAGCGAAAGCAUGGGGAGCGAACAGG
rnacentral:rRNA from 1 species